rnacentral:lncRNA from 1 species
UAUUCUGCUCUAUGACAUGCUCAAAAUUAUUCUUUAAUUGUGCACUAACCUCACUUUUUUAUAGCGCUUCAUGGAUCACUGCCCAGGUACGCAUCCACAUCCGCUCUGGUCAUUUUCGGUAUGCAUGUUUAGAUUCUCACGUGUGCAUGAUCACUUUGUGUAUUCAUUGAUUUCCUCAUCAAUUGCCAUGAUUGCUUCAUUUUAUUAGUAGAGACCCGACUUUAGGGACUUAGAGGGGUGCUAUGGUAUUUUACCGUACCUUCCCGACAAGUAAUCUGACCCCCGAGCCCGAUCCGGUUUUUCGUAGAUCACCUUUUCCAAAAUAAGGAGUCGCACUUAGGGUUUUUCUUUCUUAUUUUGUUUACCCUUUAAAAAUAAAACAAAAAUAAGUGGCGACUCCAAGUCAUUUCUUUUUAACCAAUUAAAUCAAUUUUUCAAAAUAA